rnacentral:tRNA from 1 species
GGGGCUGUAGCUUAGUAGCAGAGUGCUUGCCUGUCAUACAUGAAGCACUGGGUUUGAUCCUCAGCCCCA